rnacentral:rRNA from 1 species
GAGUUUGAUCCUGGCUCAGGAUGAACGCUGGCGGCAGGCUUAAUACAUGCAAGUCGAACGGUAACAGGCCUAGCAAUGGGUGCUGACGAGUGGCGCACGGGUGCGUAACGCGUAUGCAACCUACCUAUAAUUGGGACAUAACGUUGAGAAAUCGGCGCUAAUAUUCCAUGUGAAUAUCAGAUGGCAUCAUUUGGUAUUUAAAGAUUUAUUGAUUAUGGAUGGGCAUGCGUAUCAUUAGUUAGUUGGAGUGGUAACGGCACACCAAGGCGAUGAUGAUUCGGGGUUCUGAGAGGAUAUCCCCCCACACUGGAACUGAGACACGGUCCAGACUCCUACGGGAGGCAGCAGUAGGGAAUAUUGGGCAAUGGAGGCAACUCUGACCCAGCCAUGCCGCGUGAAGGAAGACGGUCCUACGGAUUGUAAACUUCUUUUAUCAUAGAGUAACCAUAGAUACGCGUAUCUAUCUGCAAGUAUAUGAUGAAUAAGCACCGGCUAACUCCGUGCCAGCAGCCGCGGUAAUACGGAGGGUGC